CCAGACAAGUUCCUGCCCAGAAGUGUGUGUAGUUAGCUGCUCUUGAACAUGGAGUUUUGGCUACAUGAUGGCUCAUGUCACCAACACCCUCUGAUGUCCUGUGCCCCGAGGCAGCCCAUAAACAUCUGUGGAGUAAAUGACUAAGUGAACAAACAAAUGAUUAAACCAGCUCAAGUCCGUUCCCUUCACUGCCCUUCCAUCCUGACAUUGUGAAUCUGCUGGUUUUCUCUAGUCAUGUUUGUGGGGAUCAGCUGACCCUGCUGUUUCGUGCCAUUGCUGCUCAUUCAUGAAAUUCACUGAAAGAAAUGGCCCAGCACUCUGACUACUGCUGGAUGGACAUUUCCUUGCGUCUGUUCUGCUGGGGACGGUGAUGAGUCCCGGGGUACGUUACUCAGAACAUCAGCCUUACUGUAUGUCCCAGCGCCUCUUCUCACCCUGCACCUAUGAGCCUUUGUUUCAGUUUUGUCCAUGUUUAUCUCUGGAUGAUUUGAUUUCUGCAGUCUGUGGCUGUCUCCUGGUACACAGUUGGAAAUGAAUUCACAUCACAUUGGCAAUUGGGCCAAAUAUCUUUUUCCUAUUUUUUUAUUGAUCACUUGAAUUUCCUCUUUUGUGCCAUUCAGAGUUUUUGGAGAGAGCUGUUGUCACCUUACUUCCUCAUGUUCUUCCCUGGGGCUCCUCUUUUCUAGUCUUUGGGAAGAGUGCUACAAAGUAACCUGACUAGACCUAUGAAUAGUUCUACUAAAAUCCUUGGUCUUAAACCCUUCCUAUCUGUAGUUCACAUCUGGCCUAUAAAAGCUGAUCCCGUGGGUUUCCCAGAUACAACGUACAGACAGUGUAGUUGGGUAAUGGAGAGUUUUCGGAGUCAGGGCCACCUACAGGUGUCUGCAGCAGGGUAAAUGCCAGUCUACUCCUACUGACUAUGAAGUCAUAAACGAACAAAUGGGGGCAAGAGAAAUCAGGC
rnacentral:lncRNA from 1 species